UUGGAAGUAAAAGUCGUAACAAGGUCUCCGUAGGUGAACCUGCGGAGGGAUCAUUACUGAGUGAGGGCCUUCGGGCUCGACCUCCAACCCUUUGUGAACACAACUUGUUGCUUCGGGGGCGACCCUGCCGUUUCGACGGCGAGCGCCCCCGGAGGCCUUCAAACACUGCAUCUUUGCGUCGGAGUUUAAGUAAAUUAAACAAAACUUUCAACAACGGAUCUCUUGGUUCUGGCAUCGAUGAAGAACGCAGCGAAAUGCGAUAAGUAAUGUGAAUUGCAGAAUUCAGUGAAUCAUCGAAUCUUUGAACGCACAUUGCGCCCUUUGGUAUUCCGAAGGGCAUGCCUGUUCGAGCGUCAUUUCACCACUCAAGCCUAGCUUGGUAUUGGGCGCCGCGGUGUUCCGCGCGCCUCAAAGUCUCCGGCUGAGCUGUCCGUCUCUAAGCGUUGUGAUUUCAUUAAUCGCUUCGGAGCGCGGGCGGUCGCGGCCGUUAAAUCUUUCACAAGGUUGACCUCGGAUCAGGUAGGGAUACCCGCUGAACUUAAGCAUAUCAAUAAGCGGAGGAACCUUGUU
rnacentral:rRNA from 1 species